UACGUAGGGGGCGAGCGUUGUCCGGAGUUACUGGGCGUAAAGGGCGUGCAGGCGGUGCGGUAAGUUUAGCGUGACAGUCUCCGGCUUAACUGGAGAAGGCCGCUGAAAACUGCUGGACUUGAGGGCCAGAGAGGGACAUAGAAUCCGGGUGGAGUGGUGAAAUGCGUAGAUAUCCGGAGGAAUACCAAAGGCGAAGGCAGUGUCCUGGCUGGCAACUGACGCUGAGGCGCGAAAAGCUAGGGGAGCGAACAGG
rnacentral:rRNA from 1 species